UCCACGCCGUAAACGAUGAUAACUCGUUGUUGGCGAUACACAGUCAGCGACUAAGGGAAACCGAUAAGUUAUCCACCUGGGGAGUACGAUCGCAAGGUUGAAACUCAAAGGAGUUGGACGGGGGCCCGCACAAGCGGUGGAGCAUGUGGUUUAAUUCGAUGCAACGCGAAGAACCUUACCUGGUCUUGACAUGUAGUGAACUUUCCAGAGAUGGAUUGGUGCUUUCGAGAACA
rnacentral:rRNA from 1 species